rnacentral:piRNA from 1 species
UGUAUAAAUGCUGAAAUUGAAGAUACUUGU